GACGAACGCUGGCGGCGUGCUUAACACAUGCAAGUCGAACGGAAAGGCCCCUUUGGGGGUACUCGAGUGGCGAACGGGUGAGUAACACGUGAGUAACCUGCCCUUGACUUCGGGAUAACUUCAGGAAACUGGGGCUAAUACCGGAUAGGAAUCCUUGCUGCAUGGUGGGGGUUGGAAAGCUUCGGCGGUUUUGGAUGGACUCGCGGCUUAUCAGCUUGUUGGUGGGGUAGUGGCUUACCAAGGCUUUGACCGGUAGCCGGCCUGAGAGGGCGACCGGCCACACUGGGACUGAGAGGCGGCCCAGGCUCCGACGGGAGGCAGAAGUGGGGAAUAUUGCACAAGGGGCGGAAGCCUGAUGCAGCAACGCCGCGGGCGGGAUGACGGCCUUCGGGUUGUAAACCGCUUUCAGCAGGGGCGAAGCUUGUGGUGACGGUACCUGCAGAAGAAGCACCGGCUAACUACGUG
rnacentral:rRNA from 1 species